rnacentral:rRNA from 1 species
UAGAGUUUGAUCCUGGCUCAGAACGUACGCUGGCGGCACGCCUAAUACAUGCAAGUCGAACGAAGUAGCAAUACUUAGUGGCAGACGGGUGAGUAACAUGUAGGUAUCUUCCCUUUGGUGAGGAAUAACACGAGGAAACUUGUGCUAAUACCUCAUAAGUCUUUACGGAGAAAGCUUUAUGCGCCAAUGGAUGAGCCUGCACUUGAUUAGUUUGUUGGUAGGGUAAUGGCCUACCAAGACAAUGAUCAAUAGCUGAUUUGAGAGGAUGAUCAGCCACAUUGGGACUGAGACACGGCCCAAACUCCUACGGGAGGCAGCAGUAGGGAAUCUUGCACAAUGGGGGAAACCCUGAUGCAGCGAUGCCGCGUGAGUGAAGAAGGCCUUUGGGUUGUAAAGCUCUUUCGUCGGGGAAGAAAAUGACUGUACCCGAAUAAGAAGGUCCGGCUAACUUCGUGCCAGCAGCCGCGGUAAUACGAAGGGACCUAGCGUAGUUCGGAAUUACUGGGCUUAAAGAGUUCGUAGGUUGUUAAAAAAGUUGGUGGUGAAAUCCCAGAGCUUAGCUCUGGAACUGCCAUCAAAACUUUUUAGCUGGAGUAUGAUAGAGGAAAGCAGAAUUUCUAGUGUAGAGGUGAAAUUCGUAGAUAUUAGAAAGAAUACCAAUUGCGAAGGCAGCUUUCUGGAUCAUUACUGACACUGAGGAACGAAAGCAUGGGUAGCGAAGAGGAUUAGAUACCCUCGUAGUCCAUGCCGUAAACGAUGUGUGUUAGACGUUGGAAAUUUAUUUUCAGUGUCGCAGCGAAAGCGAUAAACACACCGCCUGGGGAGUACGACCGCAAGGUUAAAACUCAAAUGAAUUGACGGGGACCCGCACAAGUAGUGGAGCAUGUGGUUUAAUUCGAAGAUACGCGCAGAACCUUACCAACACUUGACAUGUUCGUCGCGACUUUAAGAGAUUAAAGUUUUCGGUUCGGCCGGACGAAACACAGGUGCUGCAUGGCUGUCGUCAGCUCGUGUCGUGAGAUGUUGGGUUAAGUCCCGCAACGAGCGCAACCCUCACUUUUAGUUGCCAUCAUUUAGUUGGGCACUCUGAAAGAACUGCCAGUGAUAAGCUGGAGGAAGGUGGGGAUGACGUCAAGUCCUCAUGGCCCUUACGUGUUGGGCUACACACGUGCUACAAUGGUAUUUACAAUAGGAAGCAAGACGGCGACGUUAAGCAAAUCCUAAAAAAAUGCCUCAGUUCGGAUUGUACUCUGCAACUCGAGUACAUGAAGCUGGAAUUACUAGUAAUCGCGGAUCAGCGCGCCGCGGUGAAUACGUUCCCGGGUCUUGUACACACCGCCCGUCACACCAUGGGAGUUGGUUCUACCUUAAGGCAAAGGUUAAAAACUUUGACCACGGUAUAGUCAGCGACUGGGGUGAAGUCGUAACAAGGUAACCA